rnacentral:rRNA from 1 species
AUUGAACGCUGGCGGCAGGCCUAACACAUGCAAGUCGAGCGGAUGAAGGGAGCUUGCUCCUGGAUUCAGCGGCGGACGGGUGAGUAAUGCCUAGGAAUCUGCCUGGUAGUGGGGGAUAACGUCCGGAAACGGGCGCUAAUACCGCAUACGUCCUGAGGGAGAAAGUGGGGGAUCUUCGGACCUCACGCUAUCAGAUGAGCCUAGGUCGGAUUAGCUAGUUGGUGGGGUAAAGGCCUACCAAGGCGACGAUCCGUAACUGGUCUGAGAGGAUGAUCAGUCACACUGGAACUGAGACACGGUCCAGACUCCUACGGGAGGCAGCAGUGGGGAAUAUUGGACAAUGGGCGAAAGCCUGAUCCAGCCAUGCCGCGUGUGUGAAGAAGGUCUUCGGAUUGUAAAGCACUUUAAGUUGGGAGGAAGGGCAGUAAGUUAAUACCUUGCUGUUUUGACGUUACCAACAGAAUAAGCACCGGUA